AAGUCUGGUGCCAGCAGCCGCGGUAAUUCCAGCUCCAAUAGCGUAUAUUAAAGUUGUUGCAGUUAAAAAGCUCGUAGUUGAAUUUCGGGAUCAAAUUGUUGGUCGUGCUUCGGUACGCACUGGCAUUAUUGGUUCCUACCUUCUGAAGAACCGCGAUGUCAUUAAUUUGGUGUCGUGGGGAAUCAGGACUGUUACUUUGAAAAAAUUAGAGUGUUUAAAGCAGGCUUACGCUUGAAUACAUUAGCAUGGAAUAAUGAAAUAGGACGUUUGAUUCUAUUUUGUUGGUUUCUAGGAUCGACGUAAUGAUUAAUAGGGAUAGUUGGGGGCAUUAGUAUUCAAUUGUCAGAGGUGAAAUUCUUGGAUUUAUUGAAGACUAACUACUGCGAAAGCAUUUGCCAAGGAUGUUUUCAUUAAUCAAGAACGAAAGUUAGGGGAUCGAAGACGAUCAGAUACCGUCGUAGUCUUAACCAUAAACUAUGCCGACUAGGGAUCGGAUGAUGUAAUUUUAA
rnacentral:rRNA from 1 species